UACGAAGGGGGCUAGCGUUGCUCGGAAUCACUGGGCGUAAAGCGCACGUAGGCGGCUUUCUAAGUCGGUGGUGAAAUCCUGGAGCUCAACUCCAGAACUGCCUUCGAUACUGAGAAGCUCGAGUCCGGGAGAGGUGAGUGGAACUGCGAGUGUAGAGGUGAAAUUCGUAGAUAUUCGCAAGAACACCAGUGGCGAAGGCGGCUCACUGGCCCGGUACUGACGCUGAGGUGCGAAAGCGUGGGGAGCAAACAGG
rnacentral:rRNA from 1 species